rnacentral:lncRNA from 1 species
AGUGUGGCCGGAAGACGACUCGGGGCUGCUGCUGCUCUCGGGUCGCCGCCGUCGCUCCUUCUCCUCCGCCGCCGCCUCCUGACAGCCGCCGCCACCGCCGCCGUCCGAACUUGAAGUUGCCGGCGCGCCCGUGGCCGCCGCCGCCACCGCCGCAGCGGAGGUCGCAGCUGCUGCUUGGGGCCCCUUCUCGGCGUUCUUGUCCCCGGGGUAGUCGGAGGAAGCGAGGUUUUCCGGGGUGCCGUAAGCCGUCUCGAAAAACUGGUCGAAAGCCUGUGGCAGAACGCCGUUCCUGCCCACCGUGCUAUAGAAAUUGGACGAGACGGCGGGGGUGGGGUGGUGGUAGACGUUGGCCGAGCUCUUGGCCAGCACGUCGCCAGGCACGCCGGCCGCGCUGGGCGCCUGCAGACAGUCUCUGUGCACGAGCUCCUCCGCGGAGUAGCAGUGGGCCAGAUUGCCGCGGGGGUGCCAUUUAGUGGCGGGCUCAAUGGCGUACUCUCUGAAGGUCACUUCGCGCACGGGUUGGACCUGGGGCAGGUUGGAGGAGUAGGAGUAUGUCAUUGGGCGCGAAGACGGGGUCUGGGGCAAAAAAGAAGGGAGGCUGGAGAAAUCUGGACCCGAGACGUACUGCCUCUUUGAAGCGGAUCCGUGAAGUAGAAAUUUGGAGACGUAAGCUGACGUGGAAAUCUAUCCCCAUCCUUAGCAGGGAGGGGUUCGGAGUGACUCCUCAGAGCCAGAGGCACUUCUGCUCACCGGUCCGCAAGCUGCCUGGUCUGCUGAAGCUGACGAAUCGGGAAACCAUGCAAUUGAGGCGAACCUUGGGCUGUUUUAGAGGCGCUGAGGAGCCUUCUCCUGGGAGGCCCAAGGUUGAUUUCAGCCCACCAGGAUCUGGGGAAGACCCAACUAGGGAUAAGAGCACACCAAAAGGCCAAGUCCGAGUUCCAUUUCUAGAAGAGGCGGCUUCCGGCAAGGCUAUGACAUUGGCCCUGGACAUUGGUUUCCCAGGAGCUGCUUUUUCUCAAGAACUCCACAGCACGGGGCUGUCUCCAGAAAACGCUCUUCAACGUUUAUUUCUUUUAAUCGUCGCCCGGAGCCCUAAGGCGGCUAAUGCAAGAGGCCAAAAAUGUUUGGAGGAAGAAAAACAAAGGCAGGAAGUGGCCGCGGCCUGACGGUGCGUGUGUGUCUGUAAAGAAGGGAGGGAGCCGGUUCAACCUCCCCUCGUUUUCCCGAACUUCAAGGUCUAGGCAGACCCCCUUAGGGCCUUGCCGAGGCUCGCCCCCACACCCCCAGCGGCGCAGCAUUUGGAGGUGGCCAACGAUUUAAGCCUCGGUCGGGCUGAAAGGAGAUUUGAUCGGCAGAACAAACCAACCCUUUUCGGAGGUUUCUUUUGAUUUGGUCCUAAAGGGUAUAUGCUAGUGUCCACAGCGGCUGGGGUGGCUGCUGUUUUCCUCCCGCCGGGCUAAAAGUACCAAGAAGGGAGGGAGGGAGAGAGAUUCAGGCACCUUGCGCUGGCUGCACUCUCCUUCUGAGAUAGAAUACCAGAAUAAAGUGUAUUCAGGUGCC